AACGCACAUUGCACCCAUUGGUAUUCCGAUGGGUAUACUUGUUUGAGCGUCAUUUCAUUCUCCUUAUGGGUUUUAGCUUUGAGUUGAUCUAGCUGAAUUAUAGUGGUGUCGCAGCUGGGCUACAACGUGAUAGUUAUUUCGUUGGGUAAUGCCUUUUUGUUUUGCUCACCUUAAAAAAUCGUUUUCGACCUCAAAUCAAGCAGGACUACCCGCUGAACUUAA
rnacentral:misc_RNA from 1 species